GUCGAGGGGUAACAGGGAGUGCUUGCACUCUGCUGACGACCGGCGCACGGGUGCGUAACGCGUAUGCAACCUACCUUCUACAGGGGGAUAGUCCAGAGAAAUUUGGCAUAAUACCCCAUACGAUCAUUUAUUGGCAUCGAUAGAUGAGGAAAACUCCGGUGGUAGAAGAUGGGCAUGCGUCCUAUUAGUUAGUUGGUAAGGUAACGGCUUACCAAGACAUCGAUAGGUAGGGGUCCUGAGAGGGAGAUCCCCCACACUGGUACUGAGACACGGACCAGACUCCUACGGGAGGCAGCAGUGAGGAAUAUUGGACAAUGGAGGCAACUCUGAUCCAGCCAUGCCGCGUGCAGGAAGACGGCCCUACGGGUUGUAAACUGCUUUUAUACAGGAAGAAACGCCGCUACGUGUAGCGGUUUGACGGUACUGUACGAAUAAGGAUCGGCUAACUCCGUGCCAGCAGCCGCGGUAAUACGGAGGAUCCAAGCGUUAUCCGGAAUCAUUGGGUUUAAAGGGUCCGUAGGCGGUUUUUUAAGUCAGAGGUGAAAUCCUGCAGCUCAACUGUAGCAUUGCCUUUGAUACUGAAAGACUUGAGUUAUUGUGAAGUAGUUAGAAUGUGUAGUGUAGCGGUGAAAUGCAUAGAUAUUACACAGAAUACCGAUUGCGAAGGCAGAUUACUAACAAUAUACUGACGCUGAGGGACGAAAGCGUGGGUAGCGAACAGGAUUAGAUACCCUGGUAGUCCACGCCGUAAACGAUGGAUACUAGCUGUUCGACCAACAUUGGUUGGUUGAGUGGCUAAGCGAAAGUGAUAAGUAUCCCACCUGGGGAGUACGCUCGCAAGAGUGAAACUCAAAGGAAUUUGACGGGGGCCCGCACAAGCGGUGGGAGCAUGUGGUUUAAUUCGAUGAUACGCGAGGAACCUUACCAGGGCUUAAAUGUAAGUUGCAUAGAUCAGAGAUGGUCUUU
rnacentral:rRNA from 1 species